AGAGUAGGGGCUGCCACACUGAAGGCCCUGUCUCCAAAACUCUGCAGCUUGGUCCGGGGGAUGGAGAGGAGACCAAGGUCCCAAGACCGUGGGUUCUGGGAUGGAGUGUGUUGGUGGAGGAGGUCAGCCAGAACUAAUAUUCGAAAAAUAAGAAGAUUAAGUUACUGGAAGUCACGUCAACAGACAUUUAGUCGCACAAGUGCAGUCGUCCCCUGCUGGCCAUCAGAGAGCGAACACACACCUGUUAGCGUAGGCACAGAUGUUAUCAACCAGAGAGCAGUUCUUCAACACGGCCUCCACCUUCCCCAGGGACACGUACUCUCCGGCCUGCAGCUUCACCAAGUCUUUCUUACGAUCUGGAAACACAGCAGAGACAAAAACAUUUCCACGUGCACAUCUCCAAGUGUGGGUUUGUAAUCUUUCGAAAGGAGGGAAGAGGGGAGGAGGACAGAACCUACUUUCCACUGAACUGUGCUUAUCUGAGCGGCCUCAUCUAGAUAAGAGAGGAGAUUCAGGGGCUCUGGCUGACAGACGUAAACACCACUGUGGGGUCAUUCUGGGAAGUGAUGUGAAAUCUUAUUUGUUAAAAGGUUUCCUGUCAGGUUGAUGGAUGGAACUGGAGCGGGGAGGCUUGUCUGGUAAGAAUCCAGGAAUCUGGGGCACAGUGUUGAUAACCUGUGCUUUUGAUCCAGCAGCACCAGACCCACGUGAUAAUCUGAGCCACCGUUACUCUAAUCCUCCUCACCAAUUAUUUUAAGGCAGCCGUCUUUGUGGAACUCUCCGAUGUCUCCCGUGCAGAACCACCGCUGACCAUUUUCAUCCACAAAGAAGUCCUCCUGGGCCUUGGCCUCGCUCUUGUAGUAUCCUUGCGUUACAUUGGGUCCGCCGACCAGGAUCUCUCCUCUCGGAUGUGGCUUGUCAGUGCUGCGAUAACCACCUGGAGGCAGAGUUUAAAUUGAAAACGGUUUCAAUCCUCUUGAUACUGCUUCAUAAUCAUUUCACAGAGCUAAAAAAACUUGUUUACUUUCUCCUGUCUUUCUGCUUUGGGAGCCAAAGCAAUAAACUUAGCCUGAUAAAUAUCAAGAUUUAACAGAUUGCAAUAAAAAUGAGCUACGAUCCCUUACAUAAAGAGGAUGGAGGCUUCACAGGAGUGAAAGAGAAGAAGUAUGUUUUCCUUACAAGGUCACGGCUCAGCAAAAUAAUCAGCCUGACCUGAGAAAAAUUUUCAUGCAGGAUUUAAUACAGACACAGGGAGAGA